GUGGGGAAUAUUGGGCAAUGGGCGAAAGCCUGACCCAGCAACGCCGCGUGAGGGAAGAAGGUUUUCGGAUUGUAAACCUCUGUCCUUGGUGACGAACACAAUGACGGUAGCCAAGGAGGAAGCCCCGGCUAACUACGUGCCAGCAGCCGCGGUAAUACGUAGGGGGCAAGCGUUGUCCGGAAUGACUGGGCGUAAAGGGCGUGUAGGCGGCCGAUUAAGGCUGGAGUGAAAGUCCUGCUUUCAAGGUGGGAAUUGCUUUGGAGACUGGUUGGCUUGAGUGCGGAAGAGGCAAGUGGAAUGCCCAGUGUAGCGGUGAAAUGCGUAGAGAUUGGGAGGAACACCAGUGGCGAAGGCGACUUGCUGGGCCGUAACUGACGCUGAGGCGCGAAAGCGUGGGGAGCGAACAGGAUUAGAUACCCGGGUAGUCC
rnacentral:rRNA from 1 species